UACGAAGGGGGCUAGCGUUGUUCGGAUUUACUGGGCGUAAAGCGCACGUAGGCGGAUCGUUAAGUUAGGGGUGAAAUCCCAGGGCUCAACCCUGGAACUGCCUUUAAUACUGGCGAUCUAGAGUCCGGAAGAGGUGAGUGGAACUCCUAGUGUAGAGGUGGAAUUCGUAGAUAUUAGGAAGAACACCAGUGGCGAAGGCGGCUCACUGGUCCGGUACUGACGCUGAGGUGCGAAAGCGUGGGGAGCAAACAGG
rnacentral:rRNA from 1 species